UCAGCGCAAGGCACACUGGACAGAGCUGACUUCAGUCCUAUCUGGAUUCUUGCCUGUCUCGACCCACUUCCAGAGGCAAUGCCAUAUUAUUUGAGAAAGCUGGAUAUAAAAUUUGAGCUCUACUGUCCUUGUCCCAAUCCCCCUCCCCAGGAGAAAAAAUAAGCUGAACUGUACUCGUGACAUUAUGGGUUUUUCAGGAAAACAAG
rnacentral:lncRNA from 1 species